rnacentral:misc_RNA from 2 species
UGUGGGGGCGAGCUUGCUCGCGAUGACGGUGUGUCAGUCAACCGAUUCGGCACUGAUGUACCGCUAUCGCGAGCAAGCUCGCUCCCACA